rnacentral:rRNA from 1 species
CUCUAUCACCAUUACAGAUUGAAUAUACCCGAUCUCGUCUGAUCUCGGAAGUCAAGCAAUCUCGGGCUUGGUUAGUACUUGGAUGGGUGACCGCUUGGGAAUACCAAGUGUGAUAAGCA